GCCUCGGUGUUUUAGUUGUAGUAACACACGUCCUCGGUAUGGGAUAUAACGCGGGUUCGAUCCCCGCUUGAGGCC